UUCGUUAUUAAAUAAUAAAUACAUAUGUUUAUGAUUUCUUGGGAUAUCGUGGAGACGAGACGUAGCUCUUCGGCUUUCAAGCGUUUCUGUUCUUCUUCUUUAUCCCCUGAACCGUCUUCAUCAUCUCCACCCCCUACCAAGCGACCUAAGGUUAAGAUCGAUGCCGCUAUUGAAUUUUUUAGGCGGCGGCGGCGGAACCAGCAGAGUCUUCAUCGGCAGCGAGGUUCUGGUUGAGAAUCAAGGACCGGUUUCGGAUCCUGGAUCGGAAUCUGGAGAGUCGGAGCUUGGAUCCUCUGAUUACCUGAUGGAUGCGGAGAAACCUGUUUAAACUGAUGUGCCUGUGAUGGAGAUCUAUCCUGAAGCCGACACAAAACCUGAAGCCGAUGUCUUGGAGACACCUACAAUAGCAGGUGAAGUGGUGACGGAUGGUGAGAACUCGAAGGCGGGGAAGAAGCGAGCUAAGGCUCCAUGGGCGAAGCUACUUUGUCAGUAUUCUCAGAACCCCACACUGUAUCAUGAGAGGCCAUGUAUUCACUGUUGGACGACGGUAAUUUAUCUAUCAAAAACCAAUCUAUGCCCAGCACCCUGUGUGAAAUCAAGCAGUCUGAUCUCAGAGGUCCAUUGAUUGCAACUAUGGAGAUAUAGAGCUAUCGCAAGACGGUGAAUCGAGACUUCUCAAGCUCAGGUUCGACUCCUUUGGAAUCUGUGUGUUCUUUGGUCUUUUAGAUUUUAAGUGCGUUAAGGUGUUCAUUGCUGCUUCUUGGAUUAGUUGACAUUUAGUGUUUAGUAGGGUACAACAAUAAAGCAGAAAAAGUUGUUGUUGUAAAGUAGACCGGAAGUUAGAUUCUUUAAUAUGUGAAUAUGUGGCUAUGAUGUAUUAAAACACUUCGGUUAUAUGGAGAAUUUGUUACAUUAAAAGGGAAAUCGUACGGUGAUUUGGAACCUCCUCUGCAGCUGAAGAAAUCAUAAUCCCAUCGGUUCAAUUUUCUUACACACAAUUCCUUAACAAUGGGAACUUCGUAGGCGCUGCUUCUGGUAAGACCUUCCCAGCUCUUGAUACACGCACAAAGGAAGUCAUUGCGAACGUAGCUGAAGGCGAUGCUGAAGAUAUCAACCGGGCAAUGAAAGCUGCAAGGAAGUCCAUUGAUGAAGGAGCUUGGCCUUAGAUGAUUGCUUAUGAAAAGUCAAAGAUAAUGCUGAGAUUCACAUAUUUGGUUGAGAAACACAGCGAAGAGCUCGCAGCUCUAGACACAUGUGGCAAUGGGAAUACUUAUGAUCAAGCCAAAACCGCAGAGAUUGCAAUGAUCGCCGGUUUGUUUUGUAAUGAUGCUGGAGGGGCGGAUAAGAUUCAUGGACUAACAAUUCCAGCCAAUGGAAACUAUCACGUCCAGACACUGCAUGAACCGAUAUGCGUUGCUGGACAGAUCAUUCAAUGGAACUUUCCGCUUCUGAUGUUUGCUUGGAAAGUUGGUCUUGCUCUUACUUGUGGUAACACCAUUGUCCUCAAAACCGCUGAACAAACUCCUCUCACUGGUUUUAUGUCAGUAAGCUUUUUUUUGAAGUAAUCAAUGUUUCGUUCCUUUCACGUUCUACUUACCAUUUUUGCUACUAAAAUAAAAGCCUUAAGUAUGUUUCUUGAAAUAUAUGAUAGGCAGGUCUUCCUCCUGGUGUUCUGAACAUAGUUUCUGGAUUUGGUCCAACCGCAGGUGCUUCACUCACGAACAGCCAAGUUUGUUAAGUUCAUUCUCACGUUUUGUUCUGGCCUGUGACGCAUAUGUGUCUUCUUUUGACGUUUCUUUCUUUUAAAUUAAGAAAGUAGAGAUUUACCAAAACAGAGAUGAUAUAGUAGUUUGGUUUAUUCAAAAAAAUGAUCGGCACGCACUGUUAUCCAUUGACAUCACAAAUCUUUGCAUAAGGUAAUUUUUUACUGACACCCUAAAAAUUCGAUCAUUUUUUUUUAAAUGCUUGGAGUAUUUUAUGUCGCUUCUCUUUCAAUCUGCAAACCUUCUCUUGGGGCUGGAGGUUGUUAUCUUUGAAAUAUAUAUAUAUAUAUAUAUAUAUAUAUAUUUAUAUGUGUGUGAAACGGUGAUCUUUUAAUUUGUUGGUAUUUAGGUACCCAAUAACUGUUUGUCCAACAUUAUAACACGUUGAUGACUACUUUCUAACUUUCCACUCUCUCUCAGCAACACCUCCUCAACGGAAGUAGUAACAUAAGCUUUCGAUGUUAUCAGUAUAAUAUGUAUGUCUGAUUGUCACAACCUAGAAAGAUCUCUUACAUUGUGUUGUCUAUUUGUUCAAGCAGGUUCCUUGGUUGUAGUGAGACCUAACCAUCCCUAAAGCUACUGGUGCCUACUUUUGGACUCACAUCUUAUAAGCUCAAAGUAUCUCUGUGGAACCAAAGCAGAGCUCAAGAGGCAAGAGUGCCACAAGCUAUCUUCCUUGCAACAAGCUGCAAAUAAUUGGCCUGAGCAUCUGCAAUUUAAUCAGCCGGACUACAGUUUCUUCACCUGCCACAGCGGGCCAAUGAGGGAAAACGUACAAUGCUUUGAUGACCAUCGAUUAUGCUCUGGUAUGAACAGAAGACCCAUUAUCUGCUAUUCUAUCUCGGUGACGUUUGUGGAACAAGGAUUUGAGGAGCACAUUGUGAAGUUUGUUUGGUGUUGUAAUGUAGAGAUGCAAAACUUUUUGUAGUACAAUUAGAUUGCUGAAGUGAAACACAGCUUAGGUUAUAUAUCAAUUUGUAACAGGUUUAAGUAAUGAUAUUUUUUUAACUGACUAAUUUUGAGUGAAUAGAGUAAAAAGGUGGUACUGUUACUUUUUUUUUUUUUUGUGGUACUGUUACUUGAAUAUGCACUUUAAGGUUCCCAAGUAAAUUAGACAACAACAUACACUCAUAAGCUACGAGGCUUGGAUACAUACAUCAAGACAAGGGCAUGACCAAGGCGUUGACAGCAUUAUAGACAGUGUGGAAAGACAUGAUAUAUCUUCAACGUGUCUUUGCAUGUUGCUUCAAAUAACUUAGGAGCAGCCUCACUGCUCUCUGUACUUCCUUGCUUUUGGUAUCAAGGUAAGAAAUGGUGUGCAAAACAUUUAAGGAUGCUUUUGAUGUCGAUUCAGAAAUCUCAAGAGGAAGAGCAUUUUUAUUUUUUUUUCUAGGUUAGUUAUUUUGUACGUUUCACAAUAAGUACAAGUCGUUAGAGCUAAUGGUUACAGAGAGGCCUUCAAUCGCUUACCACAAAAAACUAAUAUGUUAUCUGCCUCCUUUAUCACAUCUUGGAAAAUCAAUGACAACAAAAUAAAAACUUCACAAACACGGCAACACA